GCCUGUGAGUUUUGGCCCUGAGGGAACAAUUUUCCGACAUGGAAGAGUCAUGAGUUCACACACUCAGACUUAUUUCGGUGAUUUCAAGAGAAAAAUGGGGAUUUCUAACUUCCUUUUCCACUGCUUCUCAGCUGCUUCACUAAUCUGAGUUCCAGGAAAGCAGUUGAUUCACAGUCCAAUGGGAGUUUUUGGAAGAUAGAAGCUGAGUAAUAGCUCUGAAUGUGCUUUGAAAAUGAAGCAAGCGUCCAGAGAUCAAGUUUCUACAGUGACAAUUAUGGUCAUGAACUCCAAUCUGCUAGAGCAAUGAAAUAAUGGAGAAAAGUAUAUCUCUGUCAAAAGCCAUAUGAUACAUUAUAAUACCCCAAAAGAAAUAGCUUUUAAGUUA